AAUACACCAGAGUGCAUCAGCAUCAGCGAUCUCGUGAUGAAUGGCAAGCUACAGCUGACGGGGAAAGAACAGAUGUUGAUCCCAGUGACUCAUCCGAGCUCAGCCAAACAUAGCACUGUUGAUGAGGAAAAGGGGAAAAGACUCAAAAAUAAAUGCUGGAGCGAACAGGUAAUGAGUUUUGGGAGGAUUAAAAAUGACAAUGAAAAACGCCUUAAGGAGAGGAGGCCGUGACGAAUGUGACGAAGGGGGGGCGGGAUAAAGUGGAUGAGGGAGAGGUGCCAUGGGAGAGGGGAGAGGAGGGAGAGGGGCAGCAGUUGGUGGUGGUGGGGAGAAAAGGGAAUUUGUUUGAGGGGUUUAAGGUGGAGACAGGGGGUAACUAGCUUUGGUUGGGGGGAUAAUUACACAGGUGAGGCUAAUUAAGGUUAGGGGGAGACUAUUCUAAUCAACAAACGGUAAUUAUAACUCUUCACGGAGGGUUUUUAAACGAGCGAGUGGUGAUUAGAUGGAAGGGGAGGAAGGGAGAGACAGGGAGAGAUAACCAGAUGGGCGGGCGAGGGAAGGUGUUCGUCAGCCUCCUGCAACACUACCUCCCACUAAUGAUGCAGGUAAUUGCCGCACACCUGUAAUAGAGUCCAAGUUUGAACAGGGAAGUGUGACGGAAGAAAAACGCACACGCCAGACCCGCCGCAACUCACUCUUCUUUAUUUCCAUCCUCGCCCUCUGCGCCUUCAGGAGGAAAGCGUCGUGGUCGUCAAGACUUUAUCAUUUUGUAUUCUUGUGUGGUUUCAAAAGUCUAUGGGGCAGUGGUGGUGUUGUGGUGGUGAUGCAUGCUUGGACUCCAGGUGACAUGAUGGUAUUGCAUUGUGUGUGUGUGGGUGGGGAAGCAUGUUAGAGUCGUGGUCAAAAAGUCAAGUAAUCUUCCGCAUUCGCUUCCACUGUGUUUUGUGUGCUAACCCUUGAUCUUUAGUCCUCUGACCUGCUGACAACCUCCUGACAAGACCCGACAGUGAUAGAUUCAUGGCGGAUCACAGGAGUUAAGAGUGAGAGAAAACAAGACACCGGAGAAGGAAGUUCGGUAUGUUACUGCACUUCUGACAAUGUACAUUCGUGGUGCAAAUAUACCUAACUCGUACUUUGCUUGCUUAUCCUUGACUUUAGCUUCUUUAUAUUUACAGGCUAAGCUACAGGAACAUUUGAUAGGUAGAUAGAUACAUACGUGCAUCCAUCCAUACAUAGAUGCAUACAUAUAUAUACAUGGAUGGACAGAUAAAUAAUUCUACAUGGAUAAAGAACUAUUAUAUAUAUUUUGUUGUCAGGCACGUGUCUAUUGUCCUCCUGCCUUUGAAACACCAGUAUUAACAUUUUAUUUUACACUAUUUUAUAUUCCCACCUAUGCAUUAUGACGACAAUAUGUAAAGUGAGAACUGCCGAAGGUAUUAAUUUGUUAAUGUGCGUAAAUUAAAAGGUGUGUUUACUCGUCUUUUAUAUAUAUUCAAAUGCCACAUUAUUCUCUGCCAUAUACGAAAGUAAGUUAAAGCGGCUCAAAUUAAAGAAAAAAAAAAAUCUCAAGGCGAAUGACCUUUAAAAGUCACCACAAACAACCUUCCCUCUGUUAGGUCACGAGGCAAUAAAGACACCCCCAUAAACCGCUUCCCUCCCCUCCCUCUCCUUCCAUCUUUACUCCCUUACCUCCUCCAUCCCUCUGUCCGCCUUACACCCACCACCUCUUCCAUCUUUCUUUCCUUGUUUCCCUCCCAUUCCUUCUAACUUUCCUCUUUUCCUUCCUCCUCUCUCUUUGUUCACCCCUUCUCUACCUUUCCUUCUAACAUUCCUCUUUUCCUUCCUUCACUAUCUUAUUCCUCCCGUUCUUAUCUUACGCCCACUUCCUCUUCCAUAUUUCCUUCCUCCUUUCCCUCAUUUUCCUACUAACAUUCGUCUUUUCUGACAUUUCUUUCCCCCCCUCACUCCCUUCCUUCACUUCCUAUUCUUCCAUCUCCUGCCUUUCGCCCACAUCCUCUUCUAUAUUUUCUCUUUUGCCUCCAUUUUAUUGCAAUAUUUCUCCUCCCUCUUUCUUUCAUUUCACUCCCUUCCUUAAAUUUACUCCCCCUUUCUCUCUCACUCUCCCUUCCCUCACUUCCUCUCCCUCCCUCUCACUUGUCGCCCAUAUCACGGUCGAUCAUCUGCUUUGUUUUAUUAAGACACACAAUCAUGUACCAAGUUGACAGCGGCUGGGCGACAGUGGGCGUGGGAGGGGCCCAAUAAAAUGUUAAUCAGGCCUAUCAAUAUGGUCGGGGAAGUCUUGGUUACAGUAUCGACGUAACGACCCUAGUGACGGAGGCGACCGCGGAAGGAGGAAGGAAAGGACAAUAAUAGGGUAUGGUCGGAUGUGUGUGUGUGUGUGUGUGUGUCUGUGUGUGUGUUAGUUAGGGCGGUAUUUCAUUCCCAUGGCCUUUAAAUGUCGCUCUUACUGGAUAUUUGUACGUACAUAGGCGCUGUGGUCGUGAACCUUCCCCUUUUCUGCUAUUCCUACGUCCUGAUAUUCUCCCAAGCUCUUAUUUCCUACUUGUUCUGUGUUCUUGUAUUCCCAUGUUUCUUAUUUUCCCUUUUCACACUUCGGGGACGCCUCUGAGGCUCCAUAGGGACCAGCCGCCAUAUAGCGGUGUAAUUACUCUCUCGGAGAUGGAGGCACGGACAGGACCCUCGAACUGGACAGUGGAAAUAUGUUUCGAGAUGGGAAGGGAAUGGAGGCAGGAUGGGAGGGUAGGAGGGAGGUACAAAUGGGGAUAGAUCAUCAUAAAAGAAAGAAAAAAAAAUGUACAGGGAAUUCGUUGGUGGUAAAAUAUAUGACCAAGAGAUGGACACUUUAAUACUGGUCGUAGUUCUGUUAUUAGCAGCGGCUUUGGUGGCACUGUAAGGAAGGGCAAGGCAAGGCAGGAAAGGGUAGGGUUGAACAAGGUAUAGCAGGGCAGGUCAGGGUUCGGUAAAAGCAAAGCAAGACAGGACAGGGUUGGAUAGAGCAGGGCAAAGAAAGACAGUGCAGGGCAGGACAGGGUAAGGUUGGGCAGGGUAUAGCAGAGCGGGACAGGGUUCGAUAGAGGCAAGGCAAGGCAAGGCAGGGUUGGGUAGAGCAGGGUAGGGAAAGCUUGUGCAGGGCAGGGCGGGAUUGGGCUGGGCAGUGCAGGGAGGAGAGUUGUGGUUUGAACCCAGAAGCCCAACACGACACUGCCAAAGGCCUGCUGUCUGCCUCUAUAGGUGAUCCAUCUUUGUUCUGGCCGGACCCAAUUUUAUUACAUCUCGCUCUCUUCCUUCCUUCGCCGGCCGUCGAAGACCUUCCGUGGCUCACAUUCAGCUGGAUGUUCCCUGGAGACCGGCAGCCGAUCAAGCAAACACUCCUCCAGCCUCAAUAUUGCACUGAAGUCCCCCAGACUCGCGCCUCACAGGCCGGCAACCUUCCUGGCUGGUCGGGAUAAAACAACAAAUAUAUGCGACGAAAAUAACCGUGUAGAUACAGCAAAUUGGGCAUUGGUGCCCCAAGGGAAGGUUUCGACCAACAGAAGACGAGGUGGCGUGGCUGCCCCAAUCCCUUAUCGCCCCAGCACCUGCGACGUCCGGGCACGAUUUACUACGCUGGACCCGAGUGACUUGAGAUACAUAGCGCUCAUUCCAAAAGUUAUCUACCGUUCCAAUUUCGCUUCGUACCACUAACAGAUAAAUCCCCAGCCUAGGAAACGUGGCGCGGGCCGAGAAGAGAGAGAGGAGGAAGGGGGAGGUUAUCGCAGAGAAGGAGGAGCAGCAAUAUCUUUGGGUCACAAAUUUGUGGCUCAAACACGAAUUCCUGUUAAGUUAGCCGCGUGACUUUUGCUCCAUGUGAAUUAUAUGUAUUGCAGAACGUGCUUGCCUGAUUCCAGUCACGUGCACGAGUGUUACCCACAUUGUCUUCAAUUUCACCUGU